rnacentral:rRNA from 1 species
UACGGAGGAUCCAAGCGUUAUCCGGAUUUAUUGGGUUUAAAGGGUGCGUAGGCGGCCUAUUAAGUCAGAGGUGAAAGACGGUAGCUCAACUAUCGCAGUGCCUUUGAUACUGAUGGGCUUGAAUGAACUAGAGGUAGGCGGAAUGAGACAAGUAGCGGUGAAAUGCAUAGAUAUGUCUCAGAACACCGAUUGCGAAGGCAGCUUACUAUGGUUUUUAUUGACGCUGAGGCACGAAAGCGUGGGGAUCAAACAGG